UUUUAUUAUGAUGAUCUGCUUUAAUCAGUUAUCCCUGUCAUAAAAUAAUUGAUGAGACCUUGAUUACUGAAAUUCAC